GUCUCUGUGGCCCAGUGGUUAGGGCACUGGCUACCUCAGCCAGAGACCCCGGGUUCGAAUCCCGGCGGAGACU